rnacentral:rRNA from 1 species
UACAGGGGGUGCAAACGUUGCUCGGAAUCAUUGGGCGUAAAGCGCACGCAGGCGGUCUGUUCAGUUUGGAGUGACAGUUCCUGGCUCAACCGGGAAAGUGCUUCGAAUACUGGCGGACUUGAGGGCUUCAGAGGGACGCGGAAUUCCGGGUGGAGUGGUGAAAUGCGUAGAGAUCGGGAGGAACACCAGAGGCGAAGGCGGCGACCUGGACAGGAACUGACACUAAACUACGAAAGCGUGGGGAGCAAACAGG